UACAGAGGGGGCAAGCGUUGUUCGGAAUUACUGGGCGUAAAGGGCGCGUAGGCGGCCUGCUAAGUCGAACGUGAAAUCCCUGGGCUCAACCCAGGAACUGCGUCCGAUACUGGUUGGCUUGAAUCCGGGAGAGGGAUGCGGAAUUCCAGGUGUAGCGGUGAAAUGCGUAGAUAUCUGGAGGAACACCGGUGGCGAAGGCGGCAUCCUGGACCGGCAUUGACGCUGAGGCGCGAAAGCUAGGGGAGCAAACAGG
rnacentral:rRNA from 1 species